rnacentral:miRNA from 1 species
AAAACCUGAACUAACUUUUUGA